rnacentral:rRNA from 1 species
UACAGAGGUCCCGAGCGUUGUUCGGAUUCACUGGGCGUAAAGGGUGCGUAGGCGGUCGGGUAAGUCUGAUGUGAAAUCUCCAAGCUCAACUUGGAAACUGCAUCGGAUACUAUUCGGCUUGAGGGUUGGAGGGGGGACUGGAAUGCUUGGUGUAGCGGUGAAAUGCGUAGAUAUCGGGAGGAACACCGGUGGCGAAGGCGGUUCUCUGGGCCUGACCUGACGCUGAGGAGCGAAAGCGUGGGGAGCGAACAGG